rnacentral:rRNA from 1 species
UGAGCAAUCUGCCCUUCUCAUCGGAAUAAGCGUUGGAAACGACGUCUAAUGCCGAAUACGACCUCCUUUCGCAUGAUCGGAGGUGGAAAGCUCCGGCGGAGAAGGAUGAGCUCGCGGCCUAUCAGCUAGUUGGUGUGGGUCAUGGCCCACCAAGGCGACGACGGGUAGCCGGCCUGGAGGGGGUGACCGGCCACACUGGGACUGAGACACGGCCCAGACCUCCGUACGGGAGC